UUUACUUAGAGCCUUGUUACUUAAAUUUCUAAAAAAUAUUUUCUGAGCAAUUGUAGAACAUUUCUAAGUUUGUAGUCAAAGCAAACAUUAAAAAAUUUUAAAUGAAGCUCACUUUUGUCUCUAUCUCAACAGCACCUGGAUGAUUGAUGACUAAGAGCAAUGAUGGGGAGUCUAAAUUGCAGCUAGUUUUCGUUGUGUAAUCGUUGUGAUUAAAAUAUCCAUUUUAGUCAGAGCACACGGGUUUGUGGUUUUGAUGGUGUUUUCAUGAUGGUUAUGCAAAGAUAAACACACAUAUAAGUAGUCCACCUUCAGGUCUGAUAGUGUAUAACCCAGGCAGAGACGUUCCACAGCCAACAGCUGCAUUUAGUGCUCAGAGGCAACAAUAGAAAUGUACUCAUUCAAGUUCUGUGCCAGGUGUGC